UCUCCGUUGGUGAACCAGCGGAGGGAUCAUUACAGAGUUUUCACAACUCCCAACCCUCGCUAACCGUACCUAUUCUGUUCUCGUUGCUACCGCCGGGGGCGACGUGGGGGUCCGAAACGGCCUCCCCGCCCCGCCCGCCGGGGGCGGCGGGCCCUACGAAGUUUUAUAUCUUAACCACCAGAAACCGUCUGAUAAAAAAAACAAAAAAAUCAAAACUUUACACAACGGAUCUCUCGGACCUCGGAUCGAUGAAGAAAGCAGCAUAUCGGACGAAGACCC
rnacentral:misc_RNA from 1 species